rnacentral:lncRNA from 1 species
GAAUAGAUUUGUAAAUUUAUGUAUGACUAAAAAAUUUAAACAAUAUUUUUUAAUUAAUUUUUUUAGAUAAAUAAAUUAUUGAAUAUUAUUGCCUCAAUCAAGAAAAAUACAACGGACCACGUAGGCCGAAUGUUCAUGCGGGAGCUUGCCUAAUCGCAGCAGCUUGUUGCUCUUCUCAUUGCUGAUGCCACUGCCGUAAAUGGUAAUUAUAUUAGAGCUUAUUGUUUACUUUUAGGUAUGAGAUUCGUCGCCCUUUUACCAGAAGAGACAAAACGUGUGGCCGGAAGGCAACCUCAUUUAGUAUGACAACAGUAUAUUACGUGGGCAUGUAAAUGAUGGAGCAAUGCUAUGGGACACCCUUGCACAUGAAGCUCUCCUACCAUGC